rnacentral:rRNA from 1 species
UACGAAGGGGGCUAGCGUUGCUCGGAAUCACUGGGCGUAAAGCGCACGUAGGCGGCUUUCUAAGUCAGGGGUGAAAUCCUGGAGCUCAACUCCAGAACUGCCUUUGAUACUGGAGAGCUUGAGUCCGGAAGAGGUGAGUGGAAUUCCGAGUGUAGAGGUGAAAUUCGUAGAUAUUCGGAAGAACACCAGUGGCGAAGGCGGCUCACUGGACUGGUAUUGACGCUGAGGUGCGAAAGCGUGGGGAGCAAACAGG